rnacentral:lncRNA from 1 species
CCCUGAUGGCUGCGAUCGUGCGGUCCAGGAUUACGGAUGGGAUGCCGUGAUUAGUGAUCUGGAAGAACCCGAACGUGCGGCAGGCGCGGCUGAUUUGGUCAACGAUGGAGGAGCGGCGAUGGGUGUGAAGAUCCGCGAGGUCGAUGGUGGGGAUUGGGAUAUCGGGUUUGGUAUGGUGUCGGGGGUCGGGUAGAGAUUCGGGCUGGUGGAUGAAGAAGCGGGGGAUGGAGGUGAGGCCAGAGUCAACGAGGCCUUUGACUCCGAGCUUGGAGCUGUCGAAUUGCUUGAUUUCUUUAGCUCUAUCGUAAUCCAGUUCGCCGAUCACGGUGUUCUCCAUCGCCACCCCCGUCAUGAUUUUGAAAGUAAAGAGGAUGAUCGAUUUAUUAAUUAAUGGAAGUCCUCAUUUAUAUUGUGGUAUAUUAUUUGGUUUGUAAUUUUAGGGGCGUUUGUUGACCCGGAUUGUCUCGGACUGGACUAGCUGUAGGGACUAAGCUGGACUGGCUUAGACUAGACUAAGCUGGACUAACUUAGUGAAGCGUUUGGUGCAGUGUCGGACUAAGAAGCAGGAUAAUAAAAACAGUACUGUUCAUCAGAUUUGUGUUUGCUUACACUAGGACUACAAAUUUUUGCCAUUGUGUAAUAAAGUAAUGCUACAAAUGUCAUGAGAAGAUACUUGUGUAAUAGAGUAAUCCUAAACUUUAUGCAAUAAAAUCGAACAUUAACUAAUGAUAGUUUUCUUGGAUUAUAGAGUUUAAGAAAACGGAACUCAUAUUAGAUAUUUGUCUGAAGCAAGUAAAAUUGCCAUGGAAAAUGUCACUUAAGUUCUUCACGUGCAUGAUAUAUGGUGUUCUGGUUCUCUGUUGGGUGAAGAUGACUAGGAUCCAAUGGUGGUAGGGUUUUGAAGGAAGGGGAAACGUGAGUACUAAUACUUUGGUUUCAAGAAUUCUCCAAGUGUACCCAACAAACCUUGCUCAAAAGAAAAGAAAAUAGAAAAACAUGGUAAUUAAACAGGCUAUAAGGGGCCGUCUCUUUUUCCAUGUGGCAUAAUUCAUAGCUGACUAGAUUAACAAGCAAGAGCAAGUACAUAAGAAGAUCUCCAUAAUUUACAAAAUACCAGUGAACUAUAGUAUACCAUUCAAAAGUAGAUCUCCAUAAUUUACAAACUCCUAGUUAACAUUAGCCAAAAUACUUCAUAGUGGAAAGCUAAGUUAUAAGUCAUAACUUAAGAUUGUACGAUUAAUAAAAUACAUCCAUAUCAAAGACACUACAUAAUAUACUCAUCCGCUUGCUUUGUCGCUUAAAAGCCUUUGGACAAACACUUUCUUGAGUUCUGGUUUGAUUACCCUGAACACUCCCACAUUUUUUUGUUUAUCCAAAAUAAGAGACAAUGCAUCAAUUUGAUCCAUAGGAGAAAGACCCAUUUCUUCAAGUUCGUUAGCUAUGUCACUAUGAUCUGCAGUAACUUGAACUAAAGCUUCAGUUACCAUUUGCAUCCUCUUCCCACUUUCAACAUAAAAUUCUUUCAGUCCACUGAUAAUUGCCUCGGUUCCAUCACUUGAACUUCCCACACCUCUUUUCCUCUUUCGUUGGCUAUUUUCAGAUGGGAUGCUUUGUUGGCUUUGUUCGUUCAUUGAAGAAACAAAAUUUUCACCUCUAAUAUCACUUGCACCAACUUGAUCAUGACUUUGUUCCUCCACCAUUUCAGCAGGGGUUUCGGCUACAUUACCCGUAGCCCGAUCUUUUCCAAAUAUAUAUGCGAAUCGAUCAUACAGUGGAAAAGGUUUGCUUCUCCAUCCAUUGGCUUCUUUAUUUUUCUAAGAUUAUAUCAAAAUAGCAAAACUAAAAUUGAGCAUGUGUAACAAAUAAAGCAGCAAGAACAAAACUAAUGUAUAAAUAAAAUAGGAUAUGAACCUGCACAUAAGUUUGCCAUGCGUCAUCACUAUCAACUUCAACGCACUUUUUGACAUCAUUCCAUGCAAAUCCACUUGUGUUUAUCAUGUCAACGACCAUACUAUAUGUUUUUUUCCAUUUCUUUAACUUUGACUCAAUAUGUGGAGUUGCAUUUAUAUUGAAAUGAGGACAUAAAACAUUGACAGCUUUCGCUAUUUCAAUCAAAGUACCUUGUUUGAAAGCACCGGUAUCACACCGUUGCUUCCGAGCAACAAAAUCCUCAAGAACGGAUAGUAAUACUUCUUCCUCAAAUGCUUCCCAUUUACGCCUUCUUCCUUUUGGCUCUUGAGUAGCAUUCAAAAUAUUGUCUUUAUCCAUACCUAAACAAAAAAUAUUUGAAUGUACUAAAAUACAAUACAAAUAAUCAAUUUACAUAAUAUCCAAUUAAUUUGCAUAAUAUCCAAAUAAUUUGCAUACCAUCCAAUCAAUAAAAAAGUUUUAACAUUCACUGAUGAGCAAUCUAAUAAUUAUGCUAAUAUCCAACAAAGGCAUGAUAAAAAGGAAUACUAAAAUAAAAUGUUAUCAUUAACACAUAUAACUAGUUCGGUUGCUGGUUCCUAAUUGCUCUCCACUCAUUAUACAUUUCCUGAGCCAUGACAUUCCUCUUUGCAGUCCACUGGUCAGAUGUUUCAACACUACCAACAUAUUCACCUUCUUCUGUAUUUUGUCCAUCUUGUAUUAUUGGCAAAUUUUCCAGUGGAUCUACAGACAUCUCUUGCCUAAUAAGAUUGUGUAGUAGGCAACAAGCGGUAAUUAUUCGACCUUGUGUCCUUAUCAAAUAGAAAGAUGGACUUCUUAGUAUCGAUCACCUUCCUUUUAGCAAGCCAAAACAACGUUCAAUUACAUUCCUUGCCUUAGAAUGCUUCAUGUUAAAAUACUCUUCCUUAUUAAAAGGUGUUCGUCCCUCCCAUUCAGAUAAAUGAUAAGGUAUUCCUCUAUAGGGUGCAAGGAAUCCUUCACCAUUUGUAUAACCACCAUCUACAAGGUAAUAAUAACCUAAUAAAAAAAAACGUUAUUAGUGUUUUGUAGUUGACAAACAAAACUAGACAUAACUUACAAAGUUGAGACUAACUAAUACUCUUACCCGUUGGUACCUUAAAACCAUUAGGCCUAGUAAUUGCAUCAUGUAGCACUCUAGAGUCUGAUGCGGAACCCUCCCAACCUGGAAACACAUAUAUGAACUGCAUAUCGCCUGAACACACACCUAACACAUUAGUUGCGGCUCGACCCUUUCUUGUUCGGUAUCUUGGUUUGUCAAUUUCAUGUACAUGCAUAUCAAUGUGUGUUCCAUCUAUUGCUCCCAAGCAAUUCUAAAAAAAAAUAAAAAAUUAAGCUUUUGUUAAUUUAUACAAAGGGAAUGAAGAGUUAAAGCUUAGGGAAAAUGAAAAAAAAAUUAUCAUACCUUAAAACAUCGCCACCUAGGAUCUGUAGAAUCAAUAGGCACAGGCUGAGGGACUUUUAGUAGGAUACCUUGUAAUCGCAAAAUUCCUUGCAAUACGCUAUUGAAAUACCUACUUAUAGUCUCUCUCGACCUAUAAAAUCUACCGUCAAUACUACGAUUCUUAGUAUGAUGUGCUAGUAUUUGUAAAGUCAUACACACAUGCUCCUCUACAGACACCAAACCAUCAGUUUUUACCCUCCCAUCUUGACUAAGUAAGUCACAUAAUAUGGCAAAAGUCCUUCUAUCCAUUCUCAAUUCGUUGACACAUUCAAUAUCAAUAUUUCCUAUUAUACCAUUCAGAUAACACAAACUAAUCUCUCGUCUAACAAGUGAACGAUUAGUCAAAGUGGAUCAUUCAACAUGUCUCUGUUUGGCCCUUAGCAUCAUCACCACAAGAAUCGUACAAAUGCAAAUUGUCUCUAAAUGAGACAUCUCUAACAAUAAGAUCAAUAAAAGCUUCAUUCGAUCCAUAUCUAUCCAAACAAAAAAAAAAAGGAAAAUAAAAUAAGGACAUUAUAUAUGUAAUAUUUACUGUUAUUAAGGGUGAUGGAAAUGAAGUGAUUAUGAUACGAAAUGAACUAGAUCAAAAUAAAUGGUAUACAAAGAAUUCUGAAACAAGUAACUGCAUUAACAGCCCAAAAAAUAAACAGCCAAGUCACAAUUAAUGUUGGAUCAACAAAAAAAAAAAACCAGUCAAGUCACAAUUGCUAGGCAUUGCAUGUUAAAAGGGAAAUUAAAUGACACCUGUGAAGCGGUAGUCUUAGCCUUAUCCUUCCGUUUAUGCUCCUCUUCUUUGCAACCAACAACCACAGAAUAUUGCAGUUCAGCAUACAAAACAUUCACAUUGUAAUAUCAUGGUUAUAAACUAAAUACACACACACACUUACAGAGCACACACACACAUUUCCAGUGCAGAAUACACACACACACACAGAGACACCAACUAAAGAUACACACACACACACACAUUCACAGACCAACUAAAGAUACACACACACAGAAACACACCAACUAAACUCACAGACCACAAAAAAAACAUCUGUUCUAGUUCAAGAUCAAAAGAUGAGCAAUUAAGUAAGGACAAACAAAAUAGUUCAAACCGGACAUUAAACUUUUGAGUGAAACUCAACCGCAACAUUAGAAUAUAAGCAGAGAGAUUGUUACAAGGAGAACUUCCAGUUGGAACAAAAAUUCUAGACCAACCCUACCCCCUUCCCUGCCUCACCCUCUCUCGCUCCCCCCCACGUUAAUGAGUACACACAUACAAACACACACACACACAGUACACAAACACACACACGCAGUACACAAACACACACACACACACCCCCACGUUAAUGAGUACACACAAACACACACACACGCACACAGUACACACACACACACUUCAAGUGCAGUACACAAACACACACACACAUACACAGAAAUUAGAUACACACAAAGUACACACACACACAGGCAGUACACAAACACACACACACAAAAAUUACACACACACACACACACAGUACACACACACACAUACACAGAAAUUAGACACACACAGGCAGUACACAAACACACACACACACACACCCCACGUUAAUGAGUACACACAAACACACACACACACACACACUUCCAGUGCAGUACACAAACACACACACACACAGAGUACACACACACACACAUACACAGAAAUUAGACACACACACACAGGCAGUACACAAACACACACACACACACUUCCAGUGCAGUACACAAACACACACACACACACAUACACAGAAAUUAGACACACACACACAGGCAGUACACAAACACACACACACAGAAAUUACACACACACAUACACAGAAAUUACACACACACACAUAGGUAGUACACAAACACACACACACACACACCCCCCACGUUAAUGAGUACACACAAACACACACAGAAAUUACACACACACACACAGAGUACACACACACACACUUCCAGUGCAAAAUACACACACACACACACACUCACAGAAAUUACACACAGAAACACACCAACUAAACUCACAGACCACAAAAAAAACAUCCAUUCUAGUUCAAGAUCAAAAGAUGAGGAAUUAAGUAAGAACAAAAAUAGUUCAAACCGGACACUAAUCUUUUGAAUGAAACUUAACCGCAACAUUAGAAUAUAAGCAGAGAGAUUGUUGCAGGGAUGACUUCCAGUUGGAACAAAAAUUCUAGACCAACCCUACCUCCUUCCCUGCCUCACCCUCUCUCGCUCCCCCCCCCCCCACAUUAAUGAGUACACACAUACACACACAUACACACAGAGUAAUAAGUACACACAAACACACACACACACCCCCCCCACGUUAAUGAGUACACAACCACACACACACACAGAGAAAUUACACAAACACAGAGUACACAAACACACACACAAAGUACACAAACACACACACACCCCCUACGUUAAUGAGUACACACAAACACACACACACACACACAGAGAAAUUACACACACACACACAGUACACAAACACACACACACAGAGUAAUGAGUACAGACACACACACACACUUCUGCACUAACUCAUCAAUUCAUCCUAAUUUGGUAGAUAAAAACAUACAGUGAAAGAGGUGUUUGGAGAGAGUAUGCUUGGAGACGAGGAUUUUUGGUAAUGACAUACACAUAAAUUACACACACACACACAUAGUACACUAACACACACACACACACGCAGACACACACACGCACAGAGUACUCCCAUUGUUGAAACCCCAAUUUUUAAAAAUCGAAAACAACAUGUGGGUAGGACUUCCAAGUUUUACAACUUUGACAUCCUAAAUUCCCAAGUUCCAUCUCAUCUUAUGAAAAGCCCAAAUUCUAAUUUCAAUUUCACCUAAAUAUCAAAACCCUAAUUUAUUCAAGUGCAGAUCUCUAUGAUUCAAAAAUUAUCAAACCCAAAACAACAAAAUCAAAUAAAGCUCAGUAAAAUUACCAUCUGCAACACAAAUACAUGAAAUUAAUAGAAGAAUCGAAGUUUACCAUACAAAUGAGGGCGAGCAGAUGCAGAGAUCGGAAGACGCAGAGAUGAGGGUGAGGAGGACGAAGAUGAGGGAGCACGGCAAGGACGACGUUGAGGGAACGUAGAGAUGAGGACGAAGGGCUUGGACUGGACGAAGGGACGACGCAAAAAAUCUCUCGGUUUUCUCUGGCUUACGAAUCCGCCCGAUUUUGGGGUUGCUCGUUAAGAACGGCUAAGGAGCCAGUUAGUCCAAGCGAGUCCAGGUUAAGCUCAUUAAAGCUAAUCCGGAUGCACACCAAACGUCGGACUAUAGUCUAGUCCAGUCCAAGCCCUCUUAAUCCUGUCAAACAAACGUGCCCUUAGUCUCUAAAUUUAGUUUUCUUAUCAUUACUCAAUUUUUAAAUUAAAUUAGUAAAUCAAAUGAGACGUCACAAAUUAAAAAUAAGCAUGUUAAUUAACGUUUAAAAAAUAAUUCAAUCAUCGAUAAUUAUAUUAUUUAAUUUACAAAAUUUAAACUCCUCAUUAUUUUCAUUAGCCAAAACAAAGAGCACAAGUGCCUAAACAAUUAGCCAAAACAAAGAGCACAAGUGCCUAAAAUAUUGUGUAGUCCUAAGACAAUGGGUCAUGAUAAGGUUUUAACAAUUGCAACCAAUAAAAUGUAAAGUCAUUACACAAACUCUCAAGUCCCUCCUAUUUAAUAUCUGUUUGGACCCAAUUUUACAUUAUUAGUCUGAGUAAUCGAGACCGUUGAAUGAACAUAAUUUUAUACCGUUGAAUGAUAAAGUGAUUGAAAUGAUUUUUAAUUAUUAUUGAGAAAUAAUAUUAUGAUUUUAAUUAUGAUAUUAUCUCUUAAUAUUAUAUUAAAUUAUUUAAACCUAAUAUUUGUCUAAAUCCCAAUUGAUUUGAAUGAUGAUGGAAUAUGGGGAUAUACUUUAAGAUACGACAUCAGAUAAUGAAGCAUGCAUGGGAUGAUUAUCAUAUAAGUGCAAAUGGUGCACGCGUUUUGAUGUUGUUUUGGUUUUGGCCACAUGGAUGCAUAUGAGCAAAAAUAAAGGAGAUGCCGCAUGCAAUGGCAUAUUCCAGUUUAAACUAGAACUAUUACGAUGAUCUGGUGAAUGGGUGAUAAGAUUUACAUGGAUUGCGUGUGGUUGGAAGAAAGUAUGUGGCAUGCAUGGCUGCAUCCAGACAAAUAAGUGGUCAACCAAAAGGAAAAUAUUGGUAUUGGAUAAUGAUGAGAUAAGAAACUUAGGUAGGCUAGGCCUUUUUGCAUGGUGAUGGAUGUUGUCAGAUGAGUUUGAAGUGAUAAGAAUUGAUCACAAUGCAUGUCGUGCGAAAAGGUACUUUGAGAUUUCAAAAGGAUGCAUGUGUCUGCUUUUGCAGAAAUCCACGGGCAUAAGGAGACUAGGUAGAUUUUUGCAUGUGUCAAAGAUAAUAUUAGUUAUUUGAUAUUAUUUUUGGAGUGUAUUCGGAAAAGGUCUCUAUUGGAUUGUCGAUCAAGGAGACUCGGCAAUAAAUACAAAGUUGCAAACAUCUCAUCAACCCUUUCAAAUCAACACAUAAAUUGCCCUGCACAAAGCUUCUUAACAACUUUGAGAUUUUUUCCUCUUCCCCUUUCUUCCUGCCAACACAUCUUCAGUUUGGAUAAACCUGAAGGCAACCGGCGACAUCUUCAGUUUGGAUAGACAUCACUAUAACCAUAGAAUCAGCCAAUCGAGGAGCACCUUCAAUUUGGAUAGACAACACUGCUUUGAGACCGACUGAUUAUUUAUCCAAGUCUCGAUCAACAAGGAUUUCCAAGUCCUUGUUUGUAGAGGUCAUCUCACUAGCCUUCUCGGCGAAGUGAGGUGUUACAGGUCGGGUCCUAGGCUUGACAUAUAGGACGCCGAGUUUUAUUUUAUGAUUGGAUAUUCACAAGUAUAUUUUAGAGUUUGGCAUUCCAACAGCCAAACCACAUUUACUAUCAAGACAUUUAUCAUUUUCGAGUAUUUGUAUUCGUAUAGUUUGAUACCAGUAUGGUGUACCUAUACUCACGAAUAUAAUUUACUCAGACCGAACCUUGUGCUGACGAUUUGUGAACUUCGCAGAACUAGUAGCCUUGUCUUCAGGCUCUAGAACACGAAGGUUAAGACGUGUUCCUUCCUCGGCCGCAGUCGCAAGAUCAAGAAGUCAACAGUGCGCCCAACGCGACAUCAACACAUUUUACUACCUAACCAAGCUCGGCCGGCAAGUUGGCACGCCCCGCACACAAUCAAAGAACGUAGUUAGCUUAUUAGUUACUCGGCCAGAUCGCCACGUAGGCUUGGUAGUUCUCAAAAUCAUUUAUCCCGGCUUGGUAAUGCCUCCGCCACCGCAUGAGAGGGCAACCCAUUAUUUCUACGUGUAGAACGACGAACUUAAGAGUAUGUGAACGAAUGCUCUUAAUUGUCGAAGCAGACUCCACAUUUGAUAAUCCAAUUCGUAUUUUUAUUACAAUAAAGAUGAGGACACACCUCUCAAAUACAAUGGGUCAUACUUCAGUUCUGGUCAUAUAGUGGUAUUUUACAGCUCAAAGUGAUUUACCAAAGCUUUGCCAUCCAACCCUUUAUUGAAGAACCUUUGCAUGAACUCUGAAAGCGUAAACUGCCGGUAAAGGGCUGGUUUCUCUGGGGAGACCAGCUCCGGCAAUGGCCCGUAUGAGUCAUCCCUUCUACUCACAUUGAAAAACACAGCGAUUGACACACGGGGUUCACGGGAUGAGUUCGCCAACACACGAUGAUCUACACUUCGGUAUUCACCAUUGGACACAAUCUGAAAACGAACCAAACCAUUACAUUGAGUUUCGGUUAAACAGCAAACAAAAUAAAGGCGAAAUAGUUCUAUUGCCCGCCAAAAGUAAGGAUAAUUCUCACUUUACCCCCCUUUACUUAUGUUUUGUGUUCGACUUUGCUCCUUGUCAUCAUCUCCGUCCAAAAUUUUGGUUAAAAUUGAUGGCAUUUCAUGUAUAAUUUCAUCUAAAAUUCCGUUAAAAUAGUACCACUACGACCUCAUCAAAUUUAAAGAAAUUUAAGAUUGAGUUUACUGCUUGGAGCAAAUCGUAACUCAAAGCAUUACUCAAGGGGCAAGGUAGGGUUUACCUUAACACCAAGAACAAACUGCAAUUUAACAGUUCUACAAUUAAGCCUAAUAACAAAUAAACUAGCAGGGAAAUUUACUGAAUGCAGAUACAAAGUUUGAUUGCUAAAGAGAAAAUCGGUUAAAGUGAUUUCGACAUGUGAUAGAGAUGCUCUGGCAAGAACGACUAUUAAACAAAGGCAAAAAAACGUAGAAGACUUAGAAAGAGACUUAAAAAUAAAAUUUCGAGUACUUGGGGCAAACGGAAUACUUCGUGCAAAACUGAGCACAAUAACAUUUUAAAGGUCAUACAUCUAACCCCUCUUAGGCCUAGUUUGAUAUUACUUUUUUUUUUCACCAAAAAUUGUUUUACUUUAAAGUUAAGCAGUAAAAAAAAUCUUUGAUAAAAAUAAAAUAUACUACUUAUUUUAAAAAUAAUAGCAGUCAAACAACAGUUUUAAAAAAGAGCACGUAGGUUGCUCUUAAAAGCCGAUUUAAUACAAAGCGAAGUUGAACCUUUGAAAUACUUUUAACUCCGGUAAUAAGUUCAUUAAUUUUAAACAAUGACAUUAUUUAUAAACAUUGCUUUUACAUUAUUUUAUAUACCCACAACACUUUUAAAAAUACAAAUUAUCAAACUUUCAACUACUUUCUUUUGCAAUUAAUUAUUCUUAAAGUACAAAACAAGCAAUUUAUUAAAAAAAAAACACAAUAAUCGCAAAUUGACCCUUAGUGGAAUAUGACUUAAUUGUUGUUGUAUUGAUAUGUUGUCGUUUUGAUCAUUUGUAGAUGUGUAAAACACUCAUUUUUUUAGUCAAUUUCACAACCCAAAAACAAAGCGUUGAAUUUUAAAUGGCAUAGGGUUACUUUCACAGGCAGUAAGAGUUAAAAAUAGAAUUUACCUGAAGAAAAUCCCCAACGUUGAUGACGAGGGCACCGGGAACAGGUUUCACAUCCACCCAACCGUCACCGUACUUAACCUGCAGCCCACCCAUGCGGUCCUGAAGCACCACGGCCAGCACUCCCGGGUCAGAAUGAGAUGUAAGCCCAACCGUCAGAUCAGGUUGCGGGCAGUACGGGUAGUAAUGGCCCGCCAUCACCCUCCCUUCCAGACACGUCAUCUCCUGCAACCUCUUCGGGUUCAAUCCCAGGCCUUCGCUCGCCAGCUCCAUCAGCACCUCCCCCAGCCGUUUGAUCUCGCGGUCCCACUCAACUACAUCCUCCCGGCAAAUCUCCGGUACUUCUUCAGGAACAGCGGGAAUCGGGCCCAACCUCACUUGAAGCGUGUCCCUCCAGCUGGCGGCUUUUGAGCUGUAGAGGUCCACGUUGGAGAUAUACGAUACGCCCGUGCCCAUCUCUCUGCGGUAGAACCGCGCUUUCACCUCCGUCGGCUGCUCGUGGAAGGCCCUGACGGCUGCGAUCGUGCGGUCAAGAGUUACCGAUGGGAUGCCGUGAUUAGUGAUCUGGAAGAACCCGAACGUUCGGCAGGCGCGGCUGAUUUGGUCAACGACGGAGGAGCGGCGAUCGGUGUGAAGAUCCGCCAGGUCGAUGGUGGGGAUUGGGGUAUCGGGUUUGGUAUGAUGUCGGGGGUCGGGUAGAGAUUCGGGUGGGUGGACGAAGAAGCGGGGGAUGGAGGUGAGGCCUGAGUCAACGAGGCCUUUAACCCCGAACUUGGAUUGGUCGAAUUUCUUGACUUCUUCAGCUCUAUCGUAAUCCCGUUCACCGCCGAUCGUGGUGUUCGCCGCCAUGGUUUCUCUUUUUCCGGUCAGAGAAAAUUGCUUACC